rnacentral:sRNA from 1 species
GAAGUUCUGCGCGGGCGCGGAAGACGGGCGGCGCGUGGCGGAAGGCAGGCUUGCUCCUCGGGGUGGGGGAGGGUAUCCGGCUUAAGGGGGCUGCGGUGGACGCCACUUCUUAAUGUCGGGGGUCUUCGCGGCGCUCACCUCGGCUCCUAGGGUUCGGGACGGUACGCACCAGCCACCUUCGCGCCGAAGGCGGUAGGGCGCCACGGAGAGGAACCGCUCUAGGCACGUAAGGCCUCGUGAGGUUGCGUCGCGCGCGGAGCACUCUGGGACUUGUAGUUCUGGAGAUGGAGCGAGCUGUGCCGCUCGCGGUGCCUCUGGGUCAGACAGAGGUGUUCCAGGCCUUGCAGCGGCUCCAUAUGACCAUCUUCUCCCAGAGCGUCUCACCAUGUGGGAAGUUUCUGGCGGCUGGCAACAAUUACGGGCAGAUUGCCAUCUUCAGGUACCCUCUGCCGCUGUCCACCCAUUAGCCCUGGCACUUGGCCCUCAUGGGACGGAUGCCCCUGUUUCUGACUCCUGGGUCCCCUCCGCUGUCCCUGCAGCUUGUCCGCUGCUUUGAGCUCAGAAGCCAAAGAGGAAAGUAAGAAGCCGGUGGUGACUUUCCAAGGUGGGUAUAGCUGUGGAGUCUGGCUUCGGGACUUUGGGUGGGAUUGACUCACUCAGUUCUGCAUUUCUCUUUAGCCCAUGAUGGGCCCGUCUAUAGCAUGGUUUCCACCGAUCGACAUCUGCUUAGUGCUGGGGAUGGGGAGGUGAAGGCCUGGCUUUGGGCGGAGAUGCUCAAGAAGGUAAGGAGUCGAGCUUGGGAAAGGGCUGGGGUGCCUGGACCCGGAGAGAGCCUUUGAGGUCACCUGGUAUUUUCUCUUUUGAAGGGCUGUAAGGAGCUGUGGCGUCGUCAGCCUCCAUACAGGUGAGCAGGGCCACGUGGAUAGAGGGUGCAUCAGGGUGAAGCCACUUCCUCACUGACCUUGCCUUUCCUUCCCCAGGACCAGCCUGGAAGUGCCUGAGAUCAACGCUUUGCUGCUGGUCCCCAAGGAGAAUUCCCUCAUCCUGGCUGGGGGAGACUGUCA